GCGGGGAUAGCUCAGUUGGGAGAGCGUCAGACUGAAGCCAAACUUCAUUCAUUCAUCUGAAGGUCGUGUGUUCAAUCCACACUCACCGCA